CCCUAGUAACUGCGAGUGAAGCGGGAUGAGCUCAAAUUUCGAAUCUGGCGGUCUUUCGGCCGUCCGAGUUGUAAUCUAGAGAAGCGUCGUCCGCGCUGGACCGUGUAUAAGUCUCCUGGAAGGGAGCGUCGUAGAGGGUGAGAAUCCCGUCUUUGACACGGACUACCAGUGCUGUGUGAUGCGCUCUCGACGAGUCGAGUUGUUUGGGAAUGCAGCUCAAAACGGGUGGUAAAUUCCAUCUAAAGCUAAAUACAGGCGAGAGACCGAUAGCGAACAAGUACCGUGAGGGAAAGAUGAAAAGAACUUUGGAAAGAGAGUUAAACAGUACGUGAAAUUGCUGAAAGGGAAACGCUUGAUGUCAGUCGCGUCGACCAGGGAUCAACCUUGCUCCUCCGCUCGGUGUACUUCCUGGUCGAUGGGUCAGCGUCAGUUUCUGUCGCCGUACAAGGGCGAGGGGAAUGUGGCACUCUUCGGAGUGUGUUAUAGCCUUUCGUCGUAUGCGGGGGUAGGGACUGAGGAACUCAGCACGGCUUCGGUCUGUGCUCAGGAUGCUGGCAUAAUGGCCUUAAGCGACCCGUCUUGAAACACGGACCAAGGAGUCUAACAUGCCUGCGAG
rnacentral:rRNA from 1 species